rnacentral:lncRNA from 1 species
CUGAGCUCAAAGCAGUCCACCCACCUUGGCCUCCCAAAGUGCUGGGAUUACAGGUGUGAGCCAUCUUGCUCAUUCUAGUUUAAACUUUUGAGUGGUUUGUGUCUCCUGAUUGGACUCCUACAAAUACAGAAUUGAUGCUAGGAAGGGUACCAGGAGAUAGACGCACACAGAUGGGAUUUGGGAAUAGGUUUGGUUAUCCAAGGAGCAGUGCUGAGCUCCUUGCUAAUGGGAUAUGGGAGGCUGGUGAUUUCCAGAAAGUGACCUCACAAUGACUCAAGCUACCACAUACUGUUGAUUGUGAAAUGCCAGUUGAAGCAUAUGUCCUGCGAGCUUAGGGGUGCUACAAGUUGACCACAGCAGCAGUAAAGAUGACUCUGAAGAAUGGCAUGGGAUGGAUCCUUUCGAAUGCAUUUGAGCAGCGGUCUCCAACCACAGGGCCACAGAGCUGGAGGUGAGCAGCAGCUGGAUCUACCAUGAAAGACUUCUGAAUCCAGGAAGAGAGACUGACUGGGCAACAUGUUAUUCAGGGUCUCCCUCUGUUGUCCAAGGCUGGAGUGUAGUAGUGCUA